rnacentral:rRNA from 2 species
CAGUCGAACGAACUCUGGUAUUGAUUGGUGCUUGCAUGAUGAUUUACAUUUGAGUGAGUGGCGAACUGGUGAGUAACACGUGGGAAACCUGCCCAGAAGCGGGGGAUAACACCUGGAAACAGAUGCUAAUACCGCAUAACAACUUGGACCGCAUGGUCCGAGUUUGAAAGAUGGCUUCGGCUAUCACUUUUGGAUGGUCCCGCGGCGUAUUAGCUAGAUGGUGGGGUAACGGCUCACCAUGGCAAUGAUACGUAGCCGACCUGAGAGGGUAAUCGGCCACAUUGGGACUGAGACACGGCCCAAACUCCUACGGGAGGCAGCAGUAGGGAAUCUUCCACAAUGGACGAAAGUCUGAUGGAGCAACGCCGCGUGAGUGAAGAAGGGUUUCGGCUCGUAAAACUCUGUUGUUAAAGAAGAACAUAUCUGAGAGUAACUGUUCAGGUAUUGACGGUAUUUAACCAGAAAGCCACGGCUAACUACGUGCCAGCAGCCGCGGUAAUACGUAGGUGGCAAGCGUUGUCCGGAUUUAUUGGGCGUAAAGCGAGCGCAGGCGGUUUUUUAAGUCUGAUGUGAAAGCCUUCGGCUCAACCGAAGAAGUGCAUCGGAAACUGGGAAACUUGAGUGCAGAAGAGGACAGUGGAACUCCAUGUGUAGCGGUGAAAUGCGUAGAUAUAUGGAAGAACACCAGUGGCGAAGGCGGCUGUCUGGUCUGUAACUGACGCUGAGGCUCGAAAGUAUGGGUAGCAAACAGGAUUAGAUACCCUGGUAGUCCAUACCGUAAACGAUGAAUGCUAAGUGUUGGAGGGUUUCCGCCCUUCAGUGCUGCAGCUAACGCAUUAAGCAUUCCGCCUGGGGAGUACGGCCGCAAGGCUGAAACUCAAAGGAAUUGACGGGGGCCCGCACAAGCGGUGGAGCAUGUGGUUUAAUUCGAAGCUACGCGAAGAACCUUACCAGGUCUUGACAUACUAUGCAAAUCUAAGAGAUUAGACGUUCCCUUCGGGGACAUGGAUACAGGUGGUGCAUGGUUGUCGUCAGCUCGUGUCGUGAGAUGUUGGGUUAAGUCCCGCAACGAGCGCAACCCUUAUUAUCAGUUGCCAGCAUUAAGUUGGGCACUCUGGUGAGACUGCCGGUGACAAACCGGAGGAAGGUGGGGAUGACGUCAAAUCAUCAUGCCCCUUAUGACCUGGGCUACACACGUGCUACAAUGGAUGGUACAACGAGUUGCGAACUCGCGAGAGUAAGCUAAUCUCUUAAAGCCAUUCUCAGUUCGGAUUGUAGGCUGCAACUCGCCUACAUGAAGUCGGAAUCGCUAGUAAUCGCGGAUCAGCAUGCCGCGGUGAAUACGUUCCCGGGCCUUGUACACACCGCCCGUCACACCAUGAGAGUUUGUAACACCCAAAGUCGGUGGGGUAACCCAUAGGAACCA